CCAUGGCCUCAGCUGCACUGUUUGCCCAGGCCUACACUGCUCCCAAUCCCCCAGAGGGGACCCAGCAUUGCCUUCAUGGCAGUCGGAACUCGGUUUGGAAAACAGCUACUUCUGCUAAAGAACCAGAGCUACCCUCUGUGGAUACCUGUGGUCUUCCUCGUGUUUAAUAAUUACAAACACACGUCGCCUGCCUCGCAGGCACAAGGUCCCAAGUUCAAUCCCCGGUACCCAAAAUAAAUAAAUAAUAAUAAUUACAAACCCAAAAUUUAAGAGGAUGGUUUCAUCUUGGAGGGUGGGCUGGAAGACUGGAGAGAGGAUGGUGAAAGACAUGUUCCUUGGGAAAGGUGCCUGCACCCCAAGUAUCCUGAGGAGCUUCUGCUGCCCUGCCCAGGGCCCAGCCCCAAGCACUGAUGAGUCAGUGUGAUCUCAGGUCUGUCUUCCUUAAGAGCAGGGACUGUGUCUGGGUGUUGGCAUUGUGUCUCCAGGGCCCAGCCUGUUGCCUGGCACUAGGUGAGUACUUGUGGAAUGAGUAAUGGAUAAUAUCAGUGGUAGGUGGUUUCCUUCUCCUUGUAACUGCAGUGUGGGAUGUGCUGCCUGCUCCCAAAAACCUUUCCCCUCCAGACUGCAAGCCCUCAGGGCCUCUCUCAUGAUAGGGGGUGAGUAGUGUCUAUGCAUCUCACCAUCAUGGCUGAUAGUCCCAAGCAUUGUACUCUGCACUUCACACAUGUUGGUCCUCACAGCUCCAUACAAGAGAGUUACUCUUAUAGACAGACAAGAAAACUAAGGCAGAAACAGGAGCAGAUGAGACCAGCUUCAGACUCAUGGUGUUGGGCUUAUUCCAGCCUUCUCUUACUGAAGAACUUGGCUUGUGGGGAUCCUGGGGAUGCGCAGUGUAUUAAUGCAGCGUAGAGCUGGUCCAGCCCUCCUGUCUGCUGGAAGAGAGAGGAGCCUAGAAAGCAAUCUCCUGGGGAAGGAUGUGUCUCCAGGAAUGCCCGCCCGCCGACAAAAAGCAAUUAUGCUUCAAGAGGAAGAUUCAAAUGAUGUCUAUACCCCCAUACCCACUGAGGGCUUCAGCUGCAUCCUGCCCAAUGUGACUCAAGUCAAACUUCCUGCUAGGGGAGGCCUGGGUCCCCAGGGCUGAGCCUUCCCCUGCCUUGCUUAUGACUUCCCCAGAAUCCCCAGGUUCUCCAAAGAAGCUGCACACUCUCAGUCUUCUGUGUUGUUGCCCAAGCUGCUCAUCUGCCUGUGCCACAGCCCCUAACCCUGUCUCCCUGGCAAGCUGCCACUCACUUGCCUAACGAUCAAGGCUAAUGGGCUCUGAGCACUUGCCACAUUCUUUAAAGUUCUUUAAACGUACUAGAUAUGCAGUUCAUCGCUCCUGUCAGGGGAGGAUUGUUAUUGCCAGUAACAAAGGAGGUGCUGACAGGUUAAAUCCCACUUCUGGCUGGUGGCAGAACAGGGAUUAAGGCGAACUUUCCACUACUGUCCUCCCUGCCUCCAUCCUGACACAGGUACAGUUGGCCCUCAGGAUCUGCGGGUUACAUGUCUGUGUAUUCAGCACCCUCGGAUUGAAAAGAUUCAGGGAAAAACUGGAGCUGGGAGUAUAGUGCAGAGGUGAUGUAAACACAGCAUGCGUGAGGCCCUGGGUUUGAUCCUCAGCAUCAAAAGAAAGAAGGAAGGGAGGGAGUGAGGAAGAAAAGGAAGGAGGGAGGGAAUAAAUUAUA
rnacentral:lncRNA from 1 species